rnacentral:rRNA from 1 species
CGUGAGUGGCGGACGGGGGAGUAACGCGUGGGUAACCUGCCUCAUACAGGGGGAUAACAGUUAGAAAUGACUGCUAAUACCGCAUAAGACCACAGUACCGCAUGGUACAGGGGUAAAAACUCCGGUGGUAUGAGAUGGACCCGCGUCUGAUUAGGUAGUUGGUGGGGUAACGGCCUACCAAGCCGACGAUCAGUAGCCGACCUGAGAGGGUGACCGGCCACAUUGGGACUGAGACACGGCCCAG